UUGAUAGCCAUCGGCGUAAAGCGUGAUUAAGGUCUCAUAACACUAAAGCCGAACGCUUCCAAGACUGUUAUACGUAUUCGAAAGCAUGAAGCCCUAUUACGAAAGUAGCUUUAAUUUAACCUGAUCUCACGAAAGCUGUGAAACAAACUGGGAUUAGAUACCCCACUAUG
rnacentral:rRNA from 1 species